rnacentral:rRNA from 1 species
ACAUCCAGAGAAUUUAGCAGAGAUGCUUUAGCGCCUUCGGGAACUCUGAGACAGGUGCUGCAUGGCUGUCGUCAGCUCGUGUUGUGAAAUGUUGGGUUAAGUCCCGNAACGAGCGCAACCCUUAUCCUUUGUUGCCAGCACGUAAUGGUGGGAACUCAAAGGAGACUGCCGGUGAUAAACCGGAGGAAGGUGGGGAUGACGUCAAGUCAUCAUGGCCCUUACGAGUAGGGCUACACACGUGCUACAAUGGCGCAUACAAAGAGAAGCGACCUCGCGAGAGCAAGCGGACCUCAUAAAGUGCGUCGUAGUCCGGAUUGGAGUCUGCAACUCGACUCCAUGAAGUCGGAAUCGCUAGUAAUCGUAAAUCAGAAUGUUACGGUGAAUACGUUCCCGGGCCUUGUACACACCGCCCGUCACACCAUGGGAGUGGGUUGCAAAAGAAGUAGAUAGCUUAACCUUCGGGAGGGCGUUUACCACUUUGUGAUUCAUGACUGGGGUGAAGUCGUAACAAGGUAAGCGUAGUGCU